rnacentral:rRNA from 1 species
UACGUAGGUGGCAAGCGAUACUCGGAAUCACUAGGCGUAAAGCGCAGGUAGGAGGUUUUAGAAAGUCUCUUGUGAAAGCCUCCCGGCUCAACUGGGAGAGGUCAAGGGAAACUACUAGGCUUAGAGUGGCAGGUAGAGGUAGCUGGAAUUCCCGGUGUGAGCGGUGGAAAUGACGUAGAUAUCGGGAGGAAUACCUAUGGCGAAAGCAGGCUACUGGACCGUCACUGACUCUGAUCUGCGAAAGCUAGGGGAGCAAACAGG